rnacentral:rRNA from 1 species
UAGGGGGCAAGCGUUAUCCGGAUUUACUGGGUGUAAAGGGAGCGCAGACGGCGCGGCAAGCCUGGAGGGAAAGGCGGGGGCCCAACCCCCGGACUGCUCUGGGAACUGCCGAGCUGGAGUGCAGGAGGGGUAAGCGGAAUUCCUGGUGUAGCGGUGAAAUGCGUAGAUAUCAGGAGGAACACCGGCGGCGAAGGCGGCUUACUGGACUGCAACUGACGUUGAGGCUCGAAAGCGUGGGGAGCAAA